rnacentral:rRNA from 1 species
UAUUGGUCAAUGGGCGCGAGCCUGAACCAGCCAAGUCGCGUGAGGGAGGACGGCCCUACGGGUUGUAAACCUCUUUUGCCGGGGAGCAACGGGCGUCACGUGUGGCGCCACUGAGAGUACCCGGAGAAAAAGCAUCGGCUAACUCCGUGCCAGCAGCCGCGGUAAUACGGAGGAUGCGAGCGUUAUCCGGAUUUAUUGGGUUUAAAGGGUGCGAAGGCGGUCUGUUAAGUCAGCGGUCAAAGCCCGGGGCUCAACCCCGGCCCGCCGUUGAAACUGGCAGUCUCGAGUUGGAGAGAAGUAUGCGGAAUGCGCGGUGUAGCGGUGAAAUGCAUAGAUAUCGCGCAGAACUCCGAUUGCGAAGGCAGCAUGCCGGCUCCACACUGACGCUGAGGCACGAAAGCGUGGGUAUCG